UCUUUGACUGGGGUCUCCACCCUCCAGCCGUCUCUGCGUUUUGAUUAUCAUUCUUUGCUUGGUGUGGCUGGGGUGUCUACGCUGGGGCCGGUCCAGCUUUUUUUUUUUUUCUUUUUUCUUUCUUUCUUUCUUUUUUUUCUUCUUCAUUUUUUGCCCUGGGGCUCAAUGGAUGGAUUGUGGAAAACUGUACCGGGUUGCAGGUUGUUGAGCAACUGAUGGGACCAUCUCAGGGACCGGCGAUUACGAAAGAUGCCGAUUUGAAGAGCUACCCUGAACACCGAAAUGUUGAAUUCAGUAAGUCAGAAGACAAAACCAUGGACUUUUAGCAAUCAAAGGACAAAUUAAGGUGUCUGACUUGGAAUAGCCGUGUUUAUUUUUGAGGAAUUUUUCUUUCUCUUGUUGUGUUUGUUUUUAAUCAUUGAUAUUGGAAUACAGAAGAGGAACCAGGUAUAUACUCAUUUGGUUUCCUU